ensembl:snoRNA SNORA70 Small nucleolar RNA SNORA70
UUGCAGGCAGUGAAGCCGACUGUGCUCUCCUCCCCGUGGGGGCCCAGUGUGCAGUGGCCGCAGACAGCAGCCUCCUCGGUGGGGUAUGCAGCCUGUGGCCUGUGCAGGUUGCACUAAGGGGCCUUGGAGACAACU